GUAGUCUGCAACUCGACUACAUGAAGCUGGAAUCGCUAGUAAUCGCGGAUCAGAAUGCCGCGGUGAAUACGUUCUCGGGUCUUGUACACACCGCCCGUCACACCACGGAAGUUGGGGGCGCCCGAAGCCACUUAGCUAACCCUUUUGGGAAGCGAGUGUCGAAGGUGAAAUCAAUAACUGGGGUGAAGUCGUAACAAGGUACC
rnacentral:rRNA from 1 species